rnacentral:rRNA from 1 species
CAGCAGCCACGGUAAUACGUAGGGUGCGAGCGUUAAUCGGAAUUACUGGGCGUAAAGCGUGCGCAGGCGGUUUUGUAAGACAGGCGUGAAAUCCCCGGGCUCAACCUGGGAAUGGCGCUUGUGACUGCAAAGCUAGAGUGCGGCAGAGGGGGAUGGAAUUCCGCGUGUAGCAGUGAAAUGCGUAGAUAUGCGGAGGAACACCGAUGGAGAAGGCAAUCCCCUGGGCCUGCACUGACGCUCAUGCACGAAAGCGUGGGGAGCAAACAGGAUUAGAUACCCCGGUAGUCCCUGUCUCUUAUAA